rnacentral:rRNA from 1 species
CAGUAGCCACGGUAAUACGUAGGGUGCGAGCGUUAAUCGGAAUUACUGGGCGUAAAGCGUGCGCAGGCGGUUCGUUAAGACAGAUGUGAAAUCCCCGGGCUUAACCUGGGAACUGCAUUUGUGACUGGCGAGCUAGAGUAUGGCAGAGGGGGGUAGAAUUCCACGUGUAGCAGUGAAAUGCGUAGAGAUGUGGAGGAAUACCGAUGGCGAAGGCAGCCCCCUGGGCCAAUACUGACGCUCAUGCACGAAAGUGUGGGGAGCAAACAGGAUUAGAUACCCCAGUAGUCCCUGUCUCUUAUAC